rnacentral:rRNA from 2 species
CGGCAGCUAAUCUGAGUAUCUAGUGGGCCAUUUUUGGUAAGCAGAACUGGCGCUGUGGGAUGAACCAAACGUCGAGUUAAGGGGCCUAAACGAAUGCUCAUUCGGAUCCCAUCGAAAGGCGUUGGUUGCUAUAGACAGCAGGACGGUGGCCAUGGAAGUCGGAAUCCGCUAAGGAGUGUGUAACAACUCACCUGCCGAAGCAACUAGCCCUUAAAAUGGCAUGGCGCUCAAGCAUUCUCCCGAUACUCGACCGCCGGGGCACUAGUGGCCACGCUCUCUCUCAGAGGCGAGGUCUCGAAGCCCCGGUGAGUAAGAGGGUCGCGGUGGUGAGCGUUGAAGGGUUUCGGCGUGGGCCGGCCUGGAGCCGCCACUGGUGCAGAUCUUGGUGGUAGUAGCAAAUACUCGAGAGAGGAGCCCUUGAAGGCCGAAGUGGAGCAGGGUUCCAUGUGAACAUCAGUUGGACAUGGGUUAGUCGCUCCUAAGCCCAAGGCUAAGGCCUGAUCCCACGCCAGUGGC